GGCAGACGGGUGAGUAAUGCAUAGGUAAUCUACCCUUGAGUGGGGGAUAACUCCGGGAAACCGGUGCUAAUCCCGCAUAAUGUCCGGAUGCGCAGGUAUUCGGAUCAAAGGGGGGGAUCCUUCGGGACCUCAUGCUUGAGGAUGAGCCUAUGUCCUAUUAGCUAGUUGGUGAGGUAACGGCCCACCAAGGCAAUGAUGGGUAGCCGAGCUGAGAGGCUGAUCGGCCACACUGGAACUGAAACACGGUCCAGACUCCUACGGGAGGCAGCAGUGGGGAAUUUUGCGCAAUGGGCGAAAGCCUGACGCAGCGACGCCGCGUGAGGGAUGAAGGUCCUAGGAUCGUAAACCUCUGUCAGGAAGCAUUAAAUGUGCGGAUAUCAACACCAUCCGCGCUUGACUUAACUUCCAAAGGAAGCCCCGGCUAACUACGUGCCAGCAGCCGCGGUAAUACGUAGGGGGCAAGCGUUACUCGGAUUUAUUGGGCGUAAAGAGAAUUAAGGCGGUCAUGUAAGUCAGUGGUGAAAUCCCUCGGCUCAACUGGGGAAUUGCCUUUGAUACUGCUUGACUUG
rnacentral:rRNA from 1 species